UACGUAGGGGCUAGCGUUGUCCGGAUUUAUUGGGCGUAAAGAGCGUGUAGGCGGCCAGGUAGGUCCGUUGUGAAAACUCGAGGCUCAACCUCGAGACGUCGGCGGAAACCCUCUGGCUAGAGUCCGGAAGAGGAGAGUGGAAUUCCUGGUGUAGCGGUGAAAUGCGCAGAUAUCAGGAAGAACACCCGUGGCGAAGGCGGCUCUCUGGGACGGUACUGACGCUGAGACGCGAAAGCGUGGGGAGCAAACAGG
rnacentral:rRNA from 1 species